rnacentral:lncRNA from 1 species
CCAAGCAGAGAGAAUUCGGAUGGGCAAAGACCGUGAAGUAGGCUCAUGCCUGGUGAAUUUCAGGAAUGGUCAGUAGAUAGGGCAGCUGAGCCGAGGGAGUGGCUGAUCUCGUCUCGGCUCUGCUGGGGUUGACUCAAAUUCAGGUCUACUGCAUGUGUCUUUUGUUCUUCUGGGACCAGCCUGUUUGAUGCAGGAGGUUUGGACAGAAGGGGGACAAUGUCUCAGAGGUUCACAAGGUGCUCAGAGGAAAUGCUGUGUGAGGACACAGCAAGAAGGCAGCCAUUUACAAGCCAGGCAGAGAGCCUUCACCAGAAACCCUCCCUGACAGCACCUUGAUCUCAGAUUUCCAGCCUCUCAGUGAGAGGCUGAACUGUGAGAAAAUAAAUUUCUGUUGUUUAAUCCUCUC